rnacentral:lncRNA from 1 species
UAUUUUUGACAUUUGGUGUUUCGCUCGAGUCUCGCCUGGUCUUCACUCGAGCGAUAAAAAUAGUUUGCUUGUCGCCUGAGUCUCGCUAGAUCCUCGCUCGAGCGACAGGUCACUUUUUAAAAUACCCGGUUUCAUUUUUUUCGCGCAAUUUCUUGAUUUUUCUCUCUUCUUUCUUCCUUCUCGUGUUUUUCUCAAUUUUCAUCAAUUGAUAACUUAACUUCGAGGCCCCUACCAACAUUUUUCUUCCGGAUUCCUUUGCUAAACAUCACAUUGCGGUAAUCUUUUUUCUUUUUCGUUUUGUUUUGCUCUUUUUCGUGUGUUUUGCUUACUUUGGUAUUCUUGCUUGAUUGUUACUUAAUUUAUAGAAGCUUCGACAUUCCUUUUUUCAUUGGGAGUUAUCUCACGCAUUGUGCAUCACGAUUUCCAUUGCAUUGUUCGUUUUCUUCAUUCUUCGCACUAUGUGGUUUACAUGUUUUUCCUCCAUUUUCAAUUCGUUCGUUCUUGCAUUCCGUUAAUCCGUUUGACGUGUGGUUUGUUUCAUUUUAAAGUACGUAGUUUCUAGUUUGAGGGGCUAUGAUUGGAUGGUUGAUUGGAUCUCGUAUGUGCUUGGAAUUGUGUGACAAAGUGAUGCACGCCACAUGCUCGAUGAAAU